GGUAUUUAGGGUAAUCGCUAUAGCAAUAUAGAGGAAAGUCCAUGCUCACACAGUCUGAGACGACUGUAGUGUUCGUGCUUGAUGAAAUCAUAAGUCAAGGCAAAUAAUUGACGGCAACGAAAUAAUCUAAGUCGAGAGAUAAGAUUAGAAUAGUUUGAAAGUGCCACAGUGACGUAGCUUUUGUGGAAACACAAAAGGUGGAACGCGGUAAACCCCUCGAGUGAGCAAUCCAAAUUUGGUAGGAGCACUUGUUAAGCGGAAGUCAACGUAUUAACGAGGAGAUGAGUCAUGUGCUCAUCUCAGACAGAUGAUUACCACCGGAGUACAAGUGUAACUAGUGCACGUAGCAGUACGAUGGUACAGAACAUGGCUUAUAUAAAUA
rnacentral:RNase_P_RNA from 1 species